GUACUGGUCCUGCAGGUUUCUAACUUGUCAACCUAGCUGGUAAUGUCUCCUGGUUUUUAUGGAAGGCUUAAUUGGAGAGUGUCUGAUGCCUGAAGGACUUUCCUGGUUGACGACCUUGAAAAUGGUGAAAGAAAGAAAUUGAAACCAGAUCUCACUGAUUGGGAAGGCCUCACUGAGCUGACCCGUGAACAAAGACCUACAUGAAGUGAUAAGCAGAUAUCUGGGACAAGCAUUCCAGGCACAGGGAACAGCAUGUGCAAAACCCCAGAGACAAGAGUAUUCCUGGAGUGUGAAAGGACUACAAGCUUCAGUGAGACUCUAUCAAAUUGAAACAAACUGCAGGAACAGACACUUUUUCUCAGUGCAUGGCUGCCACUCUUGGAGAGCAGGAAAGAUGUACAG